GACAGAGGAUGCAAGCGUUAUCCGGAAUGAUUGGGCGUAAAGCGUCUGUAGGUGGCUUUUUAAGUCCGCCGUCAAAUCCCAGGGCUCAACCCUGGACAGGCGGUGGAAACUACCAAGCUGGAGUACGGUAGGGGCAGAGGGAAUUUCCGGUGGAGCGGUGAAAUGCGUAGAGUAUGGAAAGACACCAAGCGAAGGACACUCUACUGGGCCAUUACUGACACUGAGAGACGAAAGCUAGGGGAGCAAAUGGG
rnacentral:rRNA from 1 species